AGAGUUUGAUCAUGGCUCAGGACGAACGCUGGCGGCGCGCCUAAUACAUGCAAGUCGAGCGAGAACCAGGGCUUGCCCUGGGGAGAGCGGCGAACGGGUGCGUAUCACGUGAGCAACCUGCCUCAGAGACCGGGAUAACUCGAGGAAACUCGGGCUAAUACCGGAUGCCCUCGUUGGACCGCAUGGUCCGGCGAGGAAAUGGAUUCCGCUCUGAGAUGGGCUCGCGGCCUAUCAGCUUGUUGGUGGGGUAACGGCCUACCAAGGCAACGACGGGUAGCUGGUCUGAGAGGACGAUCAACCACACUGGGACUGAGACACGGCCCAGACUCCUACGGGAGGCAGCAGUAGGGAAUCUUGCGCAAUGGGGGAAACCCUGACGCAGCGACGCCGCGUGCGGGAUGAAGGCCUUCGGGUCGUAAACCGCUUUCAGCAGGGACGAAAUUGACGGUACCUGCAGAAGAAGGCCCGGCCAACUACGUGCCAGCAGCCGCGGUGAUACGUAGGGGUCUAGCGUUGUCCGGAAUCAUUGGGCGUAAAGAGCUCGUAGGCGGUUCGAUUAGUCGGGUGUGAAAUCUCCACGCUCAACGUGGAGGGGCCACUCGAUACUGUCGUGACUCGAGUCCGGUAGGGGAGUUCGGAAUUCCCGGUGUAGCGGUGAAAUGCGCAGAUAUCGGGAGGAACACCAGUGGCGAAGGCGGAACUCUGGGCCGGAACUGACGCUGAGGAGCGAAAGCGUGGGGAGCGAACAGGAUUAGAUACCCUAGUAGUCC
rnacentral:rRNA from 1 species